UACGGAGGGUGCAAGCGUUAUCCGGAUUCACUGGGUUUAAAGGGUGCGUAGGUGGGCAGGUAAGUCAGUGGUGAAAUCUCCGGGCUUAACUCGGAAACUGCCAUUGAUACUAUCUUUCUUGAAUACCGUGGAGGUCAGCGGAAUAUGUCAUGUAGCGGUGAAAUGCUUAGAUAUGACAUAGAUCACCAAUUGCGAAGGCAGCUGGCUACACGAAUAUUGACACUGAUGCACGAAAGCGUGGGGAUCAAACAGG
rnacentral:rRNA from 1 species